rnacentral:rRNA from 1 species
UACGGGGGGAGCAAGCGUUGUUCGGAUUCAUUGGGCGUAAAGGGUGUGUAGGUGGCGCCGUUAGUCGGGUGUGAAAUUUCGGAGCCUAACUCCGAAACUGCAUCCGAUACUGCGGUGCUUGAGGACUGGAGAGGAGACUGGAAUUCAUGGUGUAGCAGUGAAAUGCGUAGAGAUCAUGAGGAAGACCAGUGGCGAAGGCGGGUCUCUGGACAGUUCCUGACACUGAGACGCGAAGGCCAGGGGAGCAAACGGG